GCCGGGUGUGGUGGCUCACACCUGUAAUCCCAGCACUUUGGGAGGCUGAGGUGGGCGGAUCACCUGAGGUCGGGAGUUCAAGACCAGCCUGACCAACAUGGAGAAAUCCCAUCUCUA
rnacentral:SRP_RNA from 1 species